rnacentral:rRNA from 1 species
AGUGAACGCUGGCGGCGUGCUUAACACAUGCAAGUCGAACGAGAACGGAUUAUAGCUUGCUAUAAUUGUCAGCUAAGUGGCGCACGGGUGAGUAAUGUAUAGGUAAUAUGCCUCUUACUAAGGGAUAACAAAUGGAAACGUUUGCUAAUACCUUAUACUCCUUAUUAACAGAAGUUAAUAAGGGAAAGAUUUAUUGGUAAGAGAUUAGCCUGUAUUGUAUCAGUUAGUUGGUGGGGUAAUGGCUUACCAAGACUAUGACACAUAACUGGUUUGAGAGGAUGAUCAGUCACACUGGAACUGAGACACGGACCAGACUCCUACGGGAGGCAGCAGUGGGGAAUAUUGCACAAUGGACGAAAGUCUGAUGUAGCAACGCCGCGUGGAGGAUGACACAUUUCGGUGCGUAAACUCCUUUUAUAUGAGAAGAUAAUGACGGUAUUAUAUGAAUAAGCACCGGCUAACUCCGUGCCAGCCGCCGCAGUAA